GCCCUCUCUCUCCCCUCUCUGUCUCCCUUUCUCUCUCUCUUUCUUAGUAUUUACAAAGCUUUUGCCCUGCUACUUCCCACGAUUACCUGAAAUCCGUGGUCCCUUCACAGCUGCUCUCCGAACGAGGCUCCAACCUGGUCGUCAUCAACCCAGGUUCUGCAAACAUUAGAAUUGGCCUUGCUUCGAAGGACACCCCUCUAAAUAUUCCCCAUUGCAUUGCGUGGCACACCACACGAGCACAGGAGAAAUGUUCAAGACCAGGUUUCGUGACUAUGAGGACAUGCUAGAAGAUACAUGGCACAUGGAAUUUCCCAGAAGACCUGAAAUGUCAGAUAGCUUGUUUCCCAACAUGAACACCGGGUAUCCAAUGUGGGAUGGCUACCCAGCUUUUUCAGCUAAACCAAAGAAAGAAGAAAAAGUUGGCCUUGCAAAAGUCAUAACGAGUAGCAUUCUUUCAACAGGUAGGUUUCUAGAGUGUCACCUCACCUACUAAGCUUCUCUGUCUGAUACCUAAGCACCACUUGGUGGUUUGUUGACGGGACGUAUAGACCUCCAAAGAAAAUUGUUUUGCAGUAUACUAUUGGUUGGUAGAGUGGCUUCGACAAGAGGUCUUGUUCCUGCAGUGGAGGAAAGAUGAAUUUGGCUUAAUGAACCAGGGUUUCGAUUUUGCGGUUGCAUCUAGAAUGUGAGACUAGACUGCCUAUGUAUCCUUGAUGGAAUCAAAUGGCGUAGUUCUGGAAUGAUCAAUGAAUGAAUGACUCAAAGAAAGAUUUUGGUGUUUUGGUUUUGACUUGGUGCCUUGUGCAGUUUCUGCUCAUGCAAGCGAGGAGCGUUUGAUAUUUGAUGCAGCUUCAUGCCAUUUAGUAUUUGAUACGGCUUUAUGCCAUUUGGUGUUUGAUAUGGCUUCAUGCCAUUUGAAAUUCAACACAGCUUCAUGCCAUUUGAGACUUGUCGUGGCUUUGCACCAUUUGGGAUUUGAUGCUGCUUCGUGCCAUUUGGAUUUGAUGUGGCUUCAUGCCAUUUGAGAUUUGUCGUGCCUUGGUGUCAUUUGGGUCAACGCGGUAAUUUAACGGGAGCUUGAUCCAUUUGUUUUGACGUUGCGCAAAUCCACUGAUUUGAGGUGGUAAGUCUAUCGAGCUUUGUGCUUUGAGAUGGUUUGCGUCUACGGUAUUUGGAGUAAUAUGCAUUCAUGAAUUGUCAUGGUCGUCGUUGACUCCAUGUUUACUUGCACCAUAUUCAGUCAACGGAGCCCACGUGAACGGCAUUCCAAGUUUUGGAGGAGCUCUUAUUUUCCUCCCUUGCUGCAGCCCUCAGUGCUUUUGAAACUCUACAAGUUUGACUUAAGAAUCAAACAUAAUGAUGACUAAUAUUGAUGACUUAGUCAUAAUCAGGAUUAAUAUUUAAGUCGCAAGAGUUACUAAGAAAGUAGGCACUGGACGCUUCUUUUUGGUUUACAUCCACUUCUUGUAUACUUGCCCUCCAUCAUGUGGUGCUUUCGGUGCUCAGCAGAAGCAAAGAGGAAAGCCUUGUCACUUGAACAGCUCUUUAAUUUCAAUGCCACGUAAGUGGCUUUGUUCAUCACGUGCUAUUUGCUUUCUUCAUGGAACUUAUGAAAGCUCCGGAGACUUAUAAGAAAAUUGCAGCGUGUUUUCGAUGUUUGAAGCAGCAACACAUUAUAAUAUUUAGAGCAGCGAUAACCAACUUCAUAGAAAUGAUAGGAAAACAGAGAGUCCUUUGUGCAAUAGAUUUUUUUGGGAGCCUCCUUUUGACCUUUAAACAGACUUUUAGAACCCCAUGUUAUAUUGGUUGCAGUGUUAUGCGAGGAAGGAAGGGCUGCAGCGUGCGUUGAAGGAGAGUCCAAGAGAGGUAGAGAGAGAACUGCAGUGUGCUCACAGUCUCCGAAUGUCACCAGUUUGUUGUUGCCUUUCCAUUGUCUGCCGAGAUGAGGGUGCACGCUGCGGUCUCUAGGCUCACAGAUGGUGCUUUCGCUGGGCAGAGAGGAACGAGGAGUGGCCGUCUGGACCUUGGGGAGUCAACAGCGGCAGGGAGCGGAGAACGUCUCUCUUUCUUCUCUGCGUUUUCCGUGUCUGCUUGCCAACCGCAUCUUUGCCUUCAUGUUCCGCUGCCUUCUCUCCUUCUGCAACUGUUUCUUUGGCAUCGUCUUCGUUGGCCCUUGGUGCAUGCUUGAUAUCCAAUGUUGCUUCGCCGCGGUUGCAAGUGUGGAUUGUUGCAUUGUCCCUGGGGAGGUUAACACUGGCGGUAGUGAUUGCUGCAGUAGCCGUGCUGUCAGAUCGGGAACGGCUCCGGGAAUGGUGCAGGAGGAUGUGAGCGAGGAAAGGGGAGAGCUCCCUGGUGGAGGAUCCGAGAGAGAAGUGGUGCAGCCUUGGAAAUUCAAGGUGGAAGGAGGAGGUUUAUCCUUCUGAUGGCUGCGAUGGUGGAAGUUUCACCAUUUUCUUUGCUUUGGUGAAAAUAAGAAGAGCCAAGUCUUGUUUCUUUUCCUAUGCAAAAAGCUGAACCGACACACCAAGACAAAGAACAAAUUAUAAACGAUUCUAACAGAUGCUGCUAUUCUCAAGCGUCAAAAGAAAGAAAUUGGGGAGCUUUGAGCCAAAAUUGCAGGUUAAUUAUAAAUAUAGAUCGCCUACGUAAAAUAGAGGAAUUUAAAUAUUCCGCAUGUUUUAGGAAUCUCAUUCAGAAAAGUUGGGCAGCGGACAUCCUCAAUCUGCAAAACACGUCAUUGCAGGUUUGGAAUAUACACUUUGUGUUUAUUGUAAUUAGUUGAAUGCAAGUGUAUUCUGGGACAUGCGUACUUUCUGUGCAGACCGAGUUAGAGAGGGAGCGUAUGGCUUUGGAGUUGGAGGAGGAAAAAAAAGCCCAGGCUGAAAGAGAGAAGAUGGUGUAACAGCAAGCUAAGAAAAUUGAGAACCUGAGCUCAAUGGUGUUGUUGCCAAUGAACACAAAAAUAUGUGCUCGAUAGUCUAAUGUGCCGUUGCCAAUGAGAUAAGAUUUAGUUAAACACUCUCUGUUGAAUCGAUAAAUUUAGCACGUUACAGGUUAGGAGACGUGGUCGUGCCAACUCGAGAACUCAAGACAUGCCUCCAAUUUUGCCUUCACACGCUUCCUGGUUUUUAUUUGGAGCAAUUGGAGAUGGCGACCCAAAAUAAUAACUAGCCAAGGUAUAAUUGAGUUUUCCAUUUUAUUAAUUGUCAUUUGCAGAGAGAUAAAUAGAGCAGUUAUGUAUGAGUGUCAGAUUUCUUCGUCUACAUUGAGGUUAGUCAAAUGGUUGAAACAGUUUGUUGUUUUAUUUGCAUUUUACAACUUUCAUUGAGGUUAGGUGUUUUGGAAAAGGUAUUUUAUGUGCAUAAAGGCUAUUAAGCUUAACAAAUUGUACCCUCUUGCUAGCUUCAUCAGCUUAUGUUUGUGAGGCAAAAAGGAGAUGACUUGGUUGUUUAAUCAAGUUAAUAAUUUGAUUAAAACAAUCCAUUGUGGCUACCUAUUAACUGUUAUUUGAUUGAAUUUGGUUUUCUCAAGAUUCAGGAUUAUGUUCACUACACUCCGCGGUGAAUUAGAGAAGUUUGAUUGACUAUGAGGCAGCGUGGGAUUCUACUAAAUUUUAGUUAUGGCUCUCAUUAUUGACUACUUUCUCUUAAUUUCUCUUUUGUAGAACAACAUUGUUAAUUGUCUUCAUAUGUUCAGAUUGAUUUCUUCUGCUUUCUGUUACACCAUACGCUCAAUAACAAUGAUGUAGCCUGGUUUGCUAUACAAAUACGUUUUUUUUGUUACA